UACCAGCACCCCGAGCGGUCGGGACGAUUAUUGGGCCUAAAGCAUCCGUAGCCGGUUCUACAAGUCUUCCGUUAAACCCACCUGCUUAACAGAUGGGCUGCGGAGGAUACUAUGGAGCUAGGAGGCGGGAGAGGCAAGCGGUACUUAGUGGGUAGGGGUAAAAUCCGUUGAUCCAUUGAAGACCACCAGUGGCGAAGGCGGCUUGCCAGAACGCACUCGACGGUGAGGGAUGAAAGCUGGGGGAGCAAACCGG
rnacentral:rRNA from 1 species